CAUGCAAGUCGAGCGAUGAACAUUGAAUGAUCCCUUCGGGGUGAUUUCGAUCGGAUUAGCGGCGAACGGGUGAGUAACGCGUGAGGAACCUGCCUCUUACAACGGGAUAGCCUCGGGAAACCGGGAUUAAUACCGUAUAAGACUCCGACAUCUCCUGAUGAUGAAGUCAAAGCGUUAGCGGUAAGAGAUGGCCUCGCGUCUGAUUAGCUAGUUGGCGGGGUAACGGCCCACCAAGGCGACGAUCAGUAACCGGCCUGAGAGGGUGAACGGUCACAUUGGAACUGAGACACGGUCCAAACUCCUACGGGAGGCAGCAGUGGGGAAUCUUGCACAAUGGGGGCAACCCUGAUGCAGCGACGCCGCGUGAGCGAUGAAGGUUUUCGAAUCGUAAAGCUCUGUCCUAUGGGAAGAUAAUGACGGUACCAUGGGAGGAAGCCCCGGCUAACUACGCGCCAGCAGCCGCGGUAAUACGUAGGGGGCGAGCGUUGUCCGGAAUUACUGGGCGUAAAGGGUUCGCAGGCGGCAUGGCAAGUCCGAUGUAAAAGGCGAAGGCUCAACCUUCGUAAGCAUCGGAAACUGUCAAGCUUGAGUGAAGGAGAGGCAAGUGGAAUUCCUAGUGUAGCGGUGGAAUGCGUAGAUAUUAGGAGGAAUACCGGUGGCGAAGGCGACUUGCUGGACUUCAACUGACGCUGAGGAACGAAAGCGUGGGUAGCAAACAGGAUUAGAUACCCUGGUAGUCCACGCCGUAAACGAUGAGUGCUAGGUGUCGGGG
rnacentral:rRNA from 1 species